AGAUUUCAAGGGACCAAUCACUGGGCGAGAAGGAGGCGGGACUUCCUGGUUGGGGAGAGAAAGAGGAAAGGCCGGGGAAGAUUUACAAAAUUAGGUUGCUAGUUUCUGGGCCCAGCGAUUGUGUUACCUGUUGAUUUUAAAAUAAGUUUUGUGUGGUGUUUUCCUUCACUCAACUGAGUUCCAGAGAAAGGUAUGGCGGCAGAGCAUGGGUCUGCGAGAAGUACACCCCAGCUAGCCGUGGAAAUUUGGGAGUGUUGGUCGGGUUUGGUGGCAGCCAGCCAUGGGGAGGAGAGAGCGCUUUCAGGGCUCUGAGUAGGAGAGUCUGUGCGACCAUGGAGUGCUUUUUUAUAUUUCAUGCAACAUACUACUAUGCUUGGGAGUAGUAUAUAGUUUAUUCUUUUUGUACCUAUAGUCCCAGAUACCCACGGAGGAAAUAUCCCAUGAUUCUAUGAAAAGAUGUCCUUUAGUGUGUAUGACCUCAGAAUGUCAGAAAGCUGUGUGUGCGCGCCGGGGUGGGAGGGUGUAGGGUGGUGAGGGACAGAUUUAUAAUGACAGUCCUUAAGAAGAGGGGGAAGUAAGAGAAUUGCCCUAUAAAAACUUGCUGUUUGCCACGAGCAAGUUGAAAGAGAGGCUUGGAGCAGAGAGGGCUGGGAAAACCUUGUCAUUGUCUUUGGAUUCACAUUUGGCUACCACCGCCCUGGCCUCUCUCCAAUCCCCCAGAGCUCUUGGCUGAGAAGAUGGAAAACCAAAGAAAAGAGCACAGGCCUUGGGCAGCUGCUCAUGCUGCGCUGCAGAGAACGCCUCACUCUUUAGAGUCCAACUGUUCCAGUUUCCCCUGCUCGCCCCUGGCAUUCCAGCGCGAUGAAGAAACUGGGCUCUUUAGAUUUAACGACCAUGUCUACCAGAGUCUCUCAAGACCCUAGCUUGGCUCUGCUAAAGGCAAGAGACAGACAAGAAAUGAAGACAUUUCUGGUGGAUUGAAGAGCCCUACCUUCAUUCCUUGCUGUGGCUUUGAGGAUACCCCCCCCCCCCCCGGGACAGGAUGAAAACCUGGCUCAACUUUGAGAUGCACUUCCUCUCAUCCUGUUAAUGUCAGGUUCCUUGGAAGUCCUUUUUCUUUGCUCCUACCAAGGUACUCUUCCUUUGCUCAUGCACUGAUAAUCAAAAUACUAUCAACCCCUGUAUAUCCUAUCUCUUCGGCUGCACAACAAGCUCUUUGGAACAUAUGCCAUGAUUGUUCCAACAUUUCCCAAAAGCCAGCUUGUGUUGAACACUUGGUAGACUCUCAAAAAUGUUUGUUAAACCAUGAAUGAAUAAGUUAGCAGAGGCCGGACGGCUGGAGAGAUGGAUGAGUAGAGGGGUAGGUGGAUGGAUAAAUUCUAAGGCAUAUGCAUGGAAGGAUAGAUGGACGGAUGGAUGGAUGGAAUCACUCUUUUGUGACAUAGAGAUAAAGGGUUUUUAAACUCUGAAACAAACAUCACUCACCUCAACUAGCAAUGGAGAAUAUUUUUAAAACAUAGUUGAUAGAAGUGGGUGUAGGGUGUAUGUUUGGAGCCCAGGAAGGGGACAGGGAGGAAGAUGGCUAAAGUGUAUGCGACACACAUAUGGGAAAUGUUAAAAUGAAUCUGCUGUAGCAAAAACAAGAUGAGAAGAGGUUACCACCUUCCAGCUACUUAACUCAUUUUUAUCCUUUUCUUCUAAUCAUUUGUUCCUUAGAUGCUGUUCCUUUCUCCUCGUGUAACUCCUCACGUGUUCUGGGAAUUGAAAUGUCUGGAAAUGGGGAAGGACUGCCUUUUCCAGUUCCCUUUGGAAGAAUGCUCUAUUAUCUUCCCGGUUCGGGAGAUUUAUGACAAGUGUGUUCUUCGCAGCUGCUCCCUGGGCCGGCAUUCAUGUUCUGCUUGGAUGCCUCUCUGACCCAAUGCCAGCUUUCUAAAGCAUACAGCCCUUUCAGAGGAUUCCCAACCCUGGAUGGGACCAGGUACUCCAGAGGUAGGGUAUCCAGGGGCAACCACCCCCCAAAAGACAUGCAGAGUGAUAACGGUGAGCUUGUUGCCCCUGGGCCUGGGGUUGAUGAGAGGAACUUUAAUAUUUAUCAAUAAACAACAAAGUGCUUAGCACAUCUCCUAGGGAAGUAAUUAACCACAGAAAGACUACCCUGUGCCGAGGCGUCUCCUCCAAAAAAAGAACUCACUUAAUUGUGAAUUGCUUACACCAGGUGAGAGAGAAGCGGUGUCUACCCCGCUCACCUGACAUAAGCAACUCUGAAGUAACUGGGAGUUGCUUUUUAUAAAUACGGUGCAGAGACUUUCUUCUUGGUGGCUAAUUACUUCCUUGGGAGGUUGCUUUAAUAGUUCCCAUAAGAAGGCCAUUAUUAUCUUUAGCGUGAUCACAGUCUCAUUGCUUUUGUCCUAGCCUUUCCAGUGCUGGGGCUCUGCCUCUACAAGGGAUCCUGAGUUGAGCCUAUGAGGCGAGCCCUCCAGCUUGGAGAUCAGGUGCCUCAGGUUGGGUGGGAGCCAGGAUCCAGGUGAGGCUGACAGAGAGGGAGGUAGAUGGCACAGGGAUUGUUGGGGACACCGGCUGCCUGGAAUCUCUCUUUUGCAUACCAUACUCCAGCAAUUUGCUAUGCUUUUAGUUGCUGACACCCCAAACAGGGAAGGGGUCAGAGAAGUGGCUCCUUAUAGGAGGCAGAAGGAGCUGAUCUAUAAGCAACCACAGCACUCAGUGAAAUCACCGGGGACGCAGAAGCAAAGAGCCAUUGGACUGUGACUCUGAAAAAUACCGCAUGCCUUUAUGCCUCACCUUGCUAAAAAAAUGAAAGAGAGCGCCUUCUAUUCUGGCUUUGUUUCAGAUGGGUGAAAUGAGUGAAGGACAGUACCACAGCACAUCCGGCCUAUGAAAUUCUAUGGUCACAAACUUGUAUCAGUGUAAAUACACCUGGCCUGCUUGUUCUCAAAUUAUAUACAUACACAAAGGCAAUUGUUAUGCAAUUUGCAAGAUGUCCAUUAAGAGGAUGAAGCAGAAGGAAAAAUAGAAUGUCUAAUAUUCCCAUUUGUUUCUCACCAGCUUGCAUCUUACUUUGAACAGCUGAAGCUGACUUCAGGAGCCAUGAAGCAGAGGUGACUUUGAUGCUGGGUGGGGAUACACCCAUAUUCUAUGGCUGUCACAGUGAAGGCAUCCUUGUAGAUCCUUUAACCCCUGAGACAACUUCAACUUCACAUAAACUCUGACCUGCGAGUCAUUUCGGUGAGGGUUAGCCACAAGUCUACACUGAUAUUAUGGACAGUAUUUGAACUUAGAAGAGCACAUGAUUGAACCACAUGCUAAUGUAACCCUACUUCUCUUUGGAGGCCUAUCAUCACACAGGAAUAUGUUCCGGGACAAUUGGCACAGACGUUCAGAACGGUGGUGGUUCUUCAGCCACACCACUUGCACAUGUGGGAUCUUAGACACUAAGUAGGGUCUUAGCUAGGUCACAGCUUGGGUGGCAGAAGAGAGGUUUGCAAACCUAUCCUGAAAAGUGUCCAGAGCAAUUGUUGAGGCCUGAUAGCUGUGUCAUCUCUCACUGUGUUAGCCUACUUAAUUCUGUGGUUAGGGUUAAAGAUAAGGAACACUUGUACAGAAAAUAUAAACAAGAACAGAUGAGAUGGCUCAGUGGUAAUGGCAGAUGGCCUGAAUUUGAUCUUGGGAUCCAAAGGUGAAGGAGAAGACUGAUUCCUACAAGUUGUCUACUGAUUUCCACAUGUAUGUUGUGGCACGCAUGUUCUCCUUCUUCUACACACACACACACACACACACACACACACACACACACACACACACACUGUGAAAUGACAUAUUAAAAAGUGAACACUCCCAUUUUCCAAUACAGAGAAAGGUAUGGAUUAAAGGAAUUAGAGCUUCAUCAUGCAAGGUAAAUUCAUUUUUUGAGGUCUGAUAAGCCAUAAGCAUUGUGUCAAUAGCGAAAAGUACUGUGCUAUGUUCUUAAAAUUUGCUAUGAGGGUAGAUGGCAACCACACCAGUGAGAAAUAAGAAUAUAUAUGGUGCUAAUGGCACUGUAAGCGCUAAUGAUGAGGCUUAUGGUCUUGGUCACAGUGAUGCUUUCAUGAAUAUAUGUAUAUACAUAUAUACUCAAACUCAUCAACAUGUACAUAUCUGAUAUGUACAGCCUUUUAGGUAUCAAUUAUACACCAAUAAAGUAGUUAGAAAAAAACAGCGAAUACACUGAAAUUUAAAUUUCAUGAACCUUUCCAUACAAUGAAACCUUCUUUAGAUUAUUUUCCAUCAGGCAUCAGGAAAAUGUUAAAAACAUUUUCUUUUCCCUCACUAAUUGGACUUGGCUCACAGGCUGUAGCUGGGUGACCAAAACAUCCUUUGGUUCCAGAGCUGGGUUUGUAAUGGAACCACUUGCUCUUCAGGUCUUGGUUGCCUCGUCAGCAAAGUGACAUUUCCGAGGGCCGUAAAGAAGAGGGGGCACAUGGCUCAUGACCAUUCCAGUGCAGGUUAAGUCACCACCAUUGUCAUUGACCAUGACUGGCCACCCUGAAAGGUCUGACAGGACCAUUCAUCCUGAAGGCAUUAGCCAGAGCCUCUCUGCAAUGAUGGGUGCUGGAGAAUCCAAAGCCAGCACCAAACCUCAGUGACUAUUCAGCCUGUGUCUGAAGUGUCCUGGCCCAAGGAUGUGUGUUCUUCACCAUAUUCACUUUAAAGGAAACAUUACAACACUGGACAAUAGUGUCGAGGAGAUCUUUCAGGAGAGAGUAAGUCAUGACGCAAGCACAUACAACACUGUUCUUGAGGGGAUGGGAAUUAGAAGACACU
rnacentral:sRNA from 1 species